GUCAUUUUUUUUUCACCCGCGCGCGUGUUUGAUCCUGUUUGUGUGGCGCAGUUGAAAUCAAAAAUUCUCAAGUCGAAUCGCGUGUGCUCGUGAAGGAACAACAUCCGGCGUUCGGAACAAAUACACCGGGUGACCGAAUCGGAACGGCUCUGGGAUGGCGGAAUUUUCGCAUAUUUGGGGACUUCUUCUACCAGGCCCGGCGCCUGCUGCGGACACUUCCGGCCGGAUUUGUUCAGGAUGGUCGUUUCGUCUGGAGGCGAAAAUCGUUAGGGGCCUAUUCCACUGAGGAUUGUGCUUCAUAAAUACGCGAGUUCAUCCCAAGUACGAAGCAGUAGUUCUGGCACCGGCUACAAACAUUUCGAACAACGUCAGAAAGUUCGGAUUGAAGCAGAAUAUUAAA